ensembl:lncRNA
CUGACUCCAAAAGUGGAAAGAAGAAGCAAUGUCACAGGAAAAUCGGAAAGCGAUUAUACCAGAAAUGGGAUAAGACCAGACAGGAAAAAUACCCCCAACAAAGGAAAGUAAAGAUCAUAUGAGGAAUCCAGUCACUGGUGAACUAGAACAGCAAGGUUAAAAUGAUCAUGUUGCAAGAUGACUGCUGCAGCACCAAGUAUCACAGUGAUCUUCCACUGGAGAGAAGAAGGAGGAGGGAAGAGGCAACAUGCAUAUCAUGGAAGGAUUUGCUUGCCCAAAAACCACAGAAGACUGUAGAAGGAUCACUAACAUGAGCUGCAUAUGCUGGCGGCCCCUCUGCUGUCAUUAUUUUAUGUACUGGAAAACACUGCUAUGGGAAGACAGCCCGGUCAGAUGGGGAUGGCCUGGAAUAGGGGCCAGGUAUCUGUGUCACAGACUAGUACAAGUCUCUUGGCCUCUCUGGGCUUCAGCUUCUUCACCUGCUCAACCAAAGGCAUAACCGAGAGCCUUCUCAGGUCCCUUUCACCUCUACUGCUCUAUGUCAGUAUGAUCGCUUAAAUUAACUCCCUGAUUUUACCUAUAAGGCCCAGGGGCUCCCCGGUCACAGAGCCAGACACAGUUUAGAACCUAGACCUCCUGACUCAGACUGUCCUCUAGGACAGACCAACUUCUUUGCCAAUUACAGAAGAGGAGCAGGGUUCUAUUAUGCUGUUAGCACUUACUUUCUUCGAUUCCAGAGCAUCCUAUUUCACUCCAUUUUUCCAAGAAUGAAGAAUGAGAGCCAGGUCCCAAACCCAGUCCCCAGUGGGCCACUUAACUCCCCUCUCUUCAUGAUUCAGGAGUUAGCCCUGUGACUGGCUGCAGUCUUGCAAAUGCAUGCACUUGGCACAGAAGGGACAGGAGAGAGUGUAAAUGCAUCCUGCAGGCCUACUGGGGCAUCAUGGGAAAAAACCAUUUGGUGUUCACAUGCUAUGGCAGUGGACCUCUGAGUGUAUCAUCGUCUGAGUGGGAGGUGUGCAGCCACCAAGAGGCUUGGCCACACACCAAAGAGGUGUCCUGCCACCUCCCUAUCACCACUGUCACACCAACAAGAACAGUGUAGUGAGCAAUCCACUGAGCCUGGGCCAUGUCUCACCACAGUCAUGUCUAGGGAAAGAGUCAUAGGUGCUCCCGGGUGGUUAAAAAUAAAAGGGUGGCAUUUAGUUCUCAAAUGUGUUUGAAAAAUUAUUUGUUCGCUAGAUUUGAUAAUGCAGACAGAGACUUUGCUACUCUAAAUUCCUUGUGUGUCUCCAGGCAGACUGCGAUGUACUAAGGAGAUUUCCUUCUAUGAGAAUCAGUCACUCACUCAGGGUUAUCCUGCAAUUUGAUGAGGAAAUCCCUUUUAAAAGGCACACCUUAGCUGAAAAAAUGCAUCCUGAAGAAAUGCUGAACUAGAUGAUCCGACUAGAUCAGAGCUUUCCAAACAUUUCUGAACACGACCCACAGUCAGAAACGUGUUUCACCCCAUGACCUGACACAAACACAUCUAUAUGUAAAAAACUGACACAAAGCACUCAGGACACAAAACCAACUCCUACUUUGUGUAAUGUAUCCUGACAGUUGCAUUGUGUUCUGCCCUCUUCUGUUUGAUUCGGUUUCCAUUUUUUUAUGUUUCAUUUUUUAGAGACAGGUCUUGCUCUGUCACCAGGCUGAAGUGCAGUAAUCAUAGCUCACUGCAGCCUCUGAACUUCAAGCCUGAAGCAUCCUCCCACCUCAGGCUCCCGACUAUCUGGGACUACAGGCAUGCAUCACUGUAACCAGCUAAUUGUCUUGGGGACAAGAGUGCCUGUGCUGUCAUCCCCGGUAUCCUUUCACGUCCUCUUUCUGCCAACCCCAGGAUCUCUUGGCAUACAUUUACCUCAGCCACACUCUUCAGUGCUCUGCAUCCAGGCUAGGCAGAGGCUGCCUGUUACAGGAGCCAUGCAUCCCUGAAGACUUGGAAUAAGUCAAGAUUUACAUAAUCCCAGAGAGAUCCUUCCAAAAUGUGAUGGUAACUCUGUUCUGUGGUUGGAGUGGCUCCUCUGGGCGCCAGCAGCAUAAACCCACCUUUCAACUCAGUCUGCAGCUCAGAAACACUACCUGAUUCUAGACAGGUUUUUCAAUGUAAUAGGUAGAAUUAUUAUGUCUUGUACAUAAAUUAAGACUUUACAUUUUUAUACUGCUAUUUAGAAUGCAUAUAAUGCAAAUCCCUGUAGACUAUGGUUACUUUGGGUUUCUGCUUUCCUGAAACUGCUACCCUCUGCAGACAGACUCUAAUACCUAACAGAGCCAGAUGCUUUUACUCAUAUUUGUCCAAAGUCUUGGACUCCCACCCUGAGCCCUAGCCUGGCCCCUCUCAACUUAGUAAAAAUCCAUGAGGAGACCUUGAAGAGAAAGCUAGAGCUUGUUGGGCAGGAACAGGCUCAGAAGGCCAUUUGGCGGUGGUAGACAUAGAACAGAGCUUUGAAGGAUGGGCUAGGCCAGGGGAGACAGAGAAGGGAUAGAGGCUAUGGGGGCCAGCCCAGCGUGCUUCGGGGCCAUUGAUUAGGCAGUCUCAGGUAUGUGCACAAAGGGUUGGAGUAAAGUUUUAGGGCAAACAAUAUUUCUGCAUUCCCUGGGUCUAGGAAUGUUUCCUUCAGACAUCUGUUUUGUCCUCAUUAGAAGGGACAGAGAUGCUGUUUUCUAAAUUUUUGCAUUGCCGGAGCUCAGCACAGUGGCAUAUGGCAGGAACGCAAUAAAAGUUCAUUGAAUGAUUGAGUGAGUGGGUGAGUGAAAGCAUUGCACAGGUUCACAAGAUAUUUGUGCUACUUAAGUGCUUAUUUGUUUUCCAACAU